GGUGGCGAGGGCCGGGGCGACCGCUCGCUCCGCGCUGCCUCGGUGCAGGACGAGCGGAGGGGCUUUGCAGCGGCCGUCGCCGCGGGAGGAGGGGGUUGAGCUGGCUCCGGAGUUGGCCAAAGAAGGUGGGCAUUUCUCGCUUCUCCUCGCCUCCCCCGCCCCCUCCUGAGCUCUCCUCCCUCCCGCCCCGCACCCCACGUGAAGCGGAAUAUAAAGGGGGGUGUGUGACUGGAGGGGAAAGUGAAUGGCGAAGGACUGAAGGGGUCCCCCUUCGGUUCCCCAGCCACCUGGUUCACCCGGUUCAUCCUCCCUUCCCGAAGCUAGCCCUCGAAGGCACGAGCAGCCGGCGCCUUCGGCGGAGGAGGAGGAGGAGGAGGAGGAGGGAUCGCGUCGGGCGGAGCUUCAGGUCCUGUUCGCCUCUCCGGCUUCUCCAUACAAAGAUUACGGUGCAGAAGGAAAUUGCACUUGCCUCCUCCGCCCCCCGGUACCCAGCACAAUGCACCAGCCGCCCGAGUCCACCGCCGCGGCGGCCGCUGCUGCAGACAUUAGUGCUAGGAAGAUGGCGCACCCGGCAAUGUUCCCUCGAAGGGGCAGCGGUGGUGGCAGCGCCUCUGCUCUCAAUGCAGCAGGUACCGGCGGCGUCAGUGGUGCUGCUCCAUCUUCAGAAGAUUUCCCUCCUCCUUCACUGCUCCAGCCGCCGCCUCCUGCUGCAUCUUCCACGCAGGGACCACAGCCUCCGCCUCCACAAAGCCUGAACCUCCUCUCGCAGGCUCAGCUGCAGGGACAGCCUCUUGCGCCAGGCGGAACUCAGAUGAAAAAGAAAAGUGGCUUCCAGAUAACUAGCGUUACUCCGGCUCAGAUCUCUGCCAGCAUCAGCUCUAACAACAGCAUCGCGGAGGACACCGAGAGCUACGACGAUCUGGAUGAGUCGCACACAGAAGAUCUCUCUUCUUCCGAGAUCCUUGACGUCUCCCUUUCCAGGGCCACUGACUUAGGUGAGCCUGAACGCAGCUCCUCAGAGGAGACUCUGAAUAACUUCCAGGAAGCUGAGACACCUGGGGCAGUCUCUCCUAACCAGCCCCACCUUCCUCAGCCUCAUUUGCCUCACCUUCCACAACAGAACGUUGUGAUCAAUGGGAAUGCCCACCCCCACCACCUCCAUCACCACCAUCACCUUCAUCAUGGGCACCACCUUCACCAUGGGCACCACCAUUCAUCACAUGCUGCUGUGGCCGGUCCAUCCAUUCCCGGAGGGCCACCCUCGAGCCCAGUGUCCAGGAAACUCUCUACAACUGGAAGUUCUGAUGGUGGUGUGCCAGUCGCACCUCCUCCUGUACCAUCGAGUGGCUUACCGGCAUCCGUGAUGACGAACAUCCGUACUCCAAGUACUACAGGCAGCCUAGGUAUAAGUUCGGUUACUGGCACGAGCACGACGACUAAUGUUAACAUUGCUGCUGUGGGUAGUUUCAGUCCCAGUGUGACGAACAGUGUGCAUGGUAAUGCUAAUAUAAGUACAAGUAUCCCUAAUGCUGCUAGCAUAGGUGGUGGGCCUGGAGUUACCAGUGGUGUUAAUGCGAGUAUCUUGAGUGGCAUGGGCAAUGGUACCGUUUCUUCCUCUCCUGUUGCUAACAGUGUCCUUAAUGCAGCUGCAGGUAUCACUGUGGGAGUGGUUUCCGGUCAGCAGCAGCAGCAACCAACAGUUAACACAUCGAGAUUCAGGGUUGUGAAGUUAGACUCUACUUCUGAACCCUUUAAAAAAGGUCGAUGGACUUGCACUGAAUUCUAUGAGAAGGAAAACGCUGUGCCAGCUACAGAAGGCGUGGCCAUCAAUAAAGUGGUGGAGACGGUGAAGCAAACCCCCACGGAAGCGUCGUCCUCGGAGAGGGAGAGCACUAGUGGGAGUUCCGUGAGCAGUAGUGUGAGCACACUGAGUCACUACACGGAGAGUGUGGGAAGUGGAGAGAUGAUGGGAGCCCCGGCUGUGGUGGCACAGCAGCAGCAGCAGCCGCCGCCAACGCUACCACCAGGGCCCCCAGGUCUUCAAGGUGUGGCCCUCCAACAGCUCGAGUUCAGUAGCCCCGCUCCACAGAGUAUUGCUGCGGUUAGUAUACCACAGAGUAUUUCUCAGUCACAGAUGUCACAAGUACAGUUACAGCCUCAAGAGUUGAGCUUUCAGCAGAAGCAGACUCUUCAGCCUGUCCCUCUGCAAGCCACCAUGAGUGCCGCAACUGGGAUCCAGCCUUCCCCUGUCAACAUGGUCGGCGUCACGGCAGCUGUAGGUCAGCAGCCUUCCGUUUCCAGCCUGGCUCAACCGCAGCUGCCGUAUUCUCAGACAGCUCCUCCCGUGCAAACUCCUCUUCCAGGGGCACCACCCCAGCAGUUACAAUAUGGGCAGCAGCAACCAAUGGUUCCUACGCAGAUAGCCCCAGGCCAUGGCCAGCCAGUGACUCAAAAUCCUACUUCAGAGUAUGUGCAGCAGCAACAGCAACCAAUAUUUCAAGCAGCAAUGUCCUCUGGGCAGUCCAGUUCCACAGGCACGGGGGCAGGAACAUCAGUGAUUUCUGUGGCUCAGCCACAAGGGAUCCAGCUGCCAGUGCAGCCCACAGCAGUACAAGCACAACCUGCAGGGGCAUCCGGGCAGCCCAUUGGCCAGGCUCAGACAGCAGUACCAACUGGCGGUCAGAUUGCAAACAUGCCCACUGCAGUACAGCAGCCCUCUACCCAAGUUACACCUUCAGUUAUUCAGCAAGGUGCUCCUCCAUCUUCACAAGUAGUCCUACCUGCUCCAGCCGGGAUCAUUCAUCAGGGAGUUCAAACCAGUGCUUCAAGCCUUCCACAACAAUUGGUCAUUACACCCCAGAAUACCUUGGUAACUGUGCCUCCCCAGCCACAGGGAGUAGAAACCGUGGCCCAAGGGGUUGUUCCCCAGCAGUUGCCCACAGGUAGUCCUCUGCCCUCUGCUAGCACUAUUUCUGUUACAAAUCAGGUUAGUUCAGCCGCUCCUUCUGGAAUGCCUUCUGUCCCAACAAACUUAGUUCCACCACAGAAUAUAGCACAACCCCCAGCCACCCAAAAUGGCAGUUUGGUUCAAAGUGUUAGUCAAUCUCCCUUGAUAGCCACUAACAUAAAUUUGCCUUUGGCACAACAGAUACCACUAAGUUCUACUCAGUUCUCUACACAAUCAUUAGCUCAGGCCAUUGGAAGCCAAAUGGAAGAUGCCAGGCGCCCAGCGGAGCCCUCCUUAGGCGGCUUACCUCAGACUAUGAGUGGUGACAGUGGGGGAGUGUCAGCAGUUUCAGAUGGGAGUAGCAGCAGCCUAGCAGCCCCUGCUUCUCUCUUCCCGUUGAAGGUGCUACCGCUGACAACACCCCUGGUGGAUGGCGAGGACGAGAGCUUUGGUUUGUUUCCACACUGGCUGCCAGAGCCAGGAGGAAGUGAAGGCAGUCGGCACUGCCUCCUUAAGGCUGAGAUGUAACCUUUGUUGGUUGUUGGGUAGAGAACAGGACAGCACAAACCUCGGCCCACUAACAGCUCUAUUUCAGUGCUUCUCUCCUACCAGAGGUACAAGGAGUGAUCCUAGAGCCACAGAUACAGCCAAGACCACGGAGAGCUUUUGACGUCAGGGCUCCACUUUGUCCACUGAACCCUUGGAGACAGAAUACCCAGCUCCUGGAGAGAGUGGGAAAGGAUAAUAAACAAGUGGGUGCUUUCCGUUAUUUACUUGGGUUUAUCUAUAGAGUGGAGUGUCCUUCCAUUCCCCAUCAUUCUGUUGGGAAUCCCCUUGGCUUCUUGGAGGAGCCAAGUGGGACUGCAGCCUGUGUGUUUCCUGAGAAUACUGUCUAGUGCCAUUCACAAAACAAACCGAAAACUUUAAUAUUCUCUCCAGAUAAUUGAUGCAGUGGCUAAUCUGGAGCACACACACAAUUUGCUCCAUGCCUGUGUAGUUCACAGGAAUUAAAGGCAGUCAUUCCCUGCUUUGGCCUUUAUUGUAACAGUAGACUUGAUAGAGUUCUUGUAGGGUGACGCCUGAAAUCUCUAAAUUUAUACAGUUGACUAUUCAGGUGUCACCCUGCCCUAUUAGAGUGGACUUUUUGGUCUUUUUUUUUUCUAUCGUAAAUGUUAGGCCUUCACACUCGGUCUCUUAGGAGAUGGAAUGGUAGCACUGUUGUGGCUUUACUGUCAAAUGGAGGCGUCAUUCUUUAAUAAAAUAAAUAUGAAUAUAAGUUUCAGGAUUUAAUAUUCCUGAAAGCUAUAUACUCAAAAGUAGUUUUCUAGUCCCUAGGAAUGUAAUUUAUUUCAACACUAGAUUUUCCCUAGGGCAUUAAGAUGACUCUUUCUUAGUUUCUUUGGUGCCAAGGGUAGGGUGUGAGUGCAGGCAUCUCUUACCGUCUGCAGUGGGUAGAGUGUGAGGUUGUUGCUUUGGCAAGUUUUCAUUGUGUCCUUGGUGGCUUCUUCUGUGACUCCAGGUAUCUUGAUAAUGGGAGACCGGUUUAUUUGUUCUCUAAUUGCCCAGAUUUCUUUCAACUGGUAAACAUCAUACCUCUGCAGCAAAGGAACUCCUCUAGCAGAGCCUCAUGGACGGUAUCUGUCCCCGUGGCAGCACCUGCAGUGUGGAAGGCAGUGGUGAACGGACCCAUGCACUAUGUCUAGAAGACACAAGGAUGAGCCAGCCCACCUGAUCUUGUUACUUACAAACUUCCAAGAUUUACUCGGGUUUAUUUUUGGUCUGAAAAUGGAAAGGCUCAAAUAAUGAAGUAAUCUUUUCGUAUUGGAGUUUUACAUGGCCAUGAAAAUAUUUCUUAUUCUGAAGACUGAAAUAGAGGAAGCUUGAGAGUCUUGUCUUUCAAAGCAGCUCUCUGUAUCUGUUUGACUUAAAAGAUUUGUGGGACUGAAAAUCAUUUAACCACAUAGGCAACCCCCACUUUAAAAAGCAGCCUUAAAAAUAAACAAAAAACCCCCAGAAAGCUUGAGGAACCCUUCCACCACCUUUGUCACCAUCGCCAAAGCGAAUACAGGGUGGACCGAAGUUUUGAAGUGUUAGGAGGGACUCUUGGCUCAUCUCUGGCUGGUCCUGAGCCUUAUUCUUACUGUAGUUUAUGAAAUGAUGAAAGUCAUGGAGCUGUCUUGGAGGCCCAGUGGAGCCCAGUCUGUGUUCCUAAGCAGUAAAUGCCUGUUAGGGUUGAAGGGCUGACUCUGCACUUCGGGCGUUGUGCCUCUUGAGUGAUGCAGAGCAGAGGUAGUGAACAGUCAGAGUGAACCGUAGGUGUGAAUAGGUUUAAAGUAAUUGUCCAAUUUACCAAUUGGCCGCAGCUGUCAAACUAAUGUUUGUUUCUUUGGUGAUCUGGUAACUGGCCAGUCAAAGCUACUAAGGGAAACUGUGACAGUCACCUGAUGCCGCCAGUUCCUUUUAAGUUGGAAUAAGUUUUAAGAAGAGACAUUGUAGAAUUAAUAAUAGGAGAACUAAAAUGUUAGCCUCUUAACAUUUAAGACUAUCAGCUAAGAGAUAACCUGUUUUUAGUCUUUCCUGGCUAUAAGAACUAUUUCUUAAUUAUAAAUCAUUUUUCAAAAGUUUUAAUGCUUUUAAAAGUAAAUAUUAAAGAUAAUUUUGAACUGAAAAAUUCCCCCACAGAACUCUGAAUUCCUGUAGAAUGAUUCUAGCCCUGUUGUCCUGACUUAGAUAAGUGCAUAUAAACAAAAGACAAGGUACCUAAUGCUUUAGAGGGAAUUUGGAAGCGGAAACUGGGAUUUACUAGACAUCCUAUUGCAUUCUUUAAACCACAGUAGGAACCAUUUUAUGGCCUGAGCCCACAAGCCUUUUGUCUCAGCACUGAAGCCAGAAAGUGAUUUACCCUUAGAAUCUCAAGCUUUAAUGAAUUUCAGCUCUGUUCCUUAAAGUAUGCAAAAGAGAUGUUAGUGCAUUCCCGUUACCUCAUGCACUACAAGCUACUGCAAAGUCAAACUUUUUGUGUAUCACUGUGAACUGUUUUGUUUGAAUUUUAAUUUUGAUGCAUUUUCUUUUUAGAUUUUUAAAGAACAAUUUCGUGUCACAAUAUGCAAUCCUAUAUCUUUUCCGUGUUUACUCUAUGAAUAUUAAUAUAAGUGAUUUUUUUCCUAGAAUGAUUUAUUGUGUAAUAUUUGUAUUAUGUGAUCAUUUGAAAACUAAUAAAUAUUUUCUCCAUGGAAAAAUGCACUUACUGAUAAAUGGCUUAUUUUUGUUUCAGGAGUAGAAAGUGAAAAUUGCAACCAUAUUUU